GUGAGUUUAGGGUUUUAAUUUUUGUGAAAUUCGUGAAAAUUUUCCGAUACAUCGGUCGGAACGACGAUGAUUCACGGCGUCAACUCGCCGUUGUUCCGUUACUCUCUGAGCCAGAAGGGUGGCUCAUCUGAUAAAAGAUGCUGAUAUUUGGAGUUAGGACAUUGGCUUCUUUGGUGAAUCCCUAUUCCCAAAUGGCGUGCGCACGUGGCACACUGGCGUUGGUUGUCAUCCAUACAAACAAUGUCGUGACAGUGGUUCCUUUGGCAUGGAUGCUAAUGAAGACGAUAUUUUGUAUGUUUUACAUAUCCAAACCGAACUAAACUAUACCAAUAAUUCUCACACAAAGGUAGUGCCUAGGGGUUGGAUGUACGCAAACCUUACCACUAACAAAAGAGUAGAGACAUGUAUGUUUUACAUCAUGGAGUAAAUAGUUGUGAGCACUUCCACAUUGAUGCAAGUGCAUGUUAGAAAGCAUUUGUGUUUCUUAUAUGCCUUGCUUUAAUUAGACCACAACUAUUAGCUUG